rnacentral:tRNA from 1 species
UGGGGUGUAACUCAGCAGUAGAGUACAUGCUUAGCAUGUACAAGGUCCUGGGUUCAAUCCCCAGCAUCUGAA